rnacentral:lncRNA from 1 species
GAAAGAAUUGGACUUCAAUGCCGCUUUCAAUCAAGUAUCAUUCGAUGAAAUGAGAUGGAGUCCGCGCCACAAACCUCGAAUCCAACUUCUACGAAAACCACCAACUCGAAUUAAAUCCCAAAAUAGUGAAUAAACCUAAAACCAGUCUUCUCAAAUCUAUACCCAAAAUCAAAUCAAAUCUGACUAAAAAUGGAACCCCAGACGAGAUUUUGUAUCUGUUUGAGCAGCGGAUAGAAUUUCGAUCAGAUUUUGAACUAGGAAACGAGGAAAAAAGUGACCUUUUGAUGUGAGUUCGGUCAGAGUGAAGCCGUUGAUGUUGUUUUCUGGUGGAUUUCAUUGUAGCAGUAACCACACAAUAACUUCUGGUGUUUUCUGAUAGCAAUUUCGGGGGGUGGCCGGAAAAAGUAGCCAGAUUCCUCUCUCUCUCUUUGUUUUUACCUUUUUCGCUUCUACUGUUCAACAAUUUCACUCUUUUUUUCUUCAUCGUCUCUCUGUGUGCGUGCUCCCUUUUAAUUUUUCAAUGAGUGUGCGCAUCUAUGGUUAGUGCAUAAAUCUAUGUUUUGUGUGUGCAGAGUGAGGUCUGUGUAUUGCGUCUAUGGAGUAUGUGUAUGGUAUUGACAAGAAGAAAGGGGAAGAAUCCCCGUCCCCCCUACUCCAGUGGUGCUCCCUACGUGUAUAUAUAUAUAUAUAUAUAUAUAUAUAUAUAUGUUGUUGAUGGUGUCUUCUCUUAAUGGGAUAAUUCAAUUUUGUAUUCUUUUCUUAUGAAAUCCAAAAUGGAGGGAAUAUGUGUAUAUCCUCUGUGGUUGUUCUAGUGAGCUCAAUUAUGGAUCCCCUUAUUGUUUUUACUGUGGGCCCCUUUAUGUGAGUGAUAGGUAGGGAGGUGAGGGCAUACGGGUAGAGGGAGAUGGGAGUAUUGGUGUGGGGUGUGAGGUGGGUGAG